CCGCAGUCGUGGCAGGAAUCGUCCUCGCGCAGCGGUGUUAUUUAUUCACGCGCUUUGUUCUCCGCGCGCAGGAGCGAUGCUCCUUUGAACAUUUGCAGCAUUAACAGCUGCCGGCGGCUCCGUAUACGCGCUGGCUCACUAUGUACACUGCGUAAAAGUGUUCUUUGUUGCAACCCUCAUUUCUGCUGUGAUGACAUCAGAUUAUCAUUCCACGGCUUUAUUCUGGAAGAUACAGUCCCAGUCAAAAGUUUCAGCACCCAAUCAAAACAGUUAUUAUUGCUUGAACUAGAAACCUGUGUAUAAUCACUUAAUUUCAUUGUGUGUUUAAAUGAGCCGAUAAUCAAUAAGUGAGUUAAAAAUUUAACUUAAAAAUGGUGAAUUUCUCUGAAAUGGACACAGAAAGCAAGGGGAUUUCCCCUUGAAGCUCCAAAAAGAAACAGCAGCAGUUGCCUUUCUUAAAUCUUUUCCAAGUUAUCUGGCAGUUACUAUACAGGGUGAAGGUUCACUGCUAAAAAUAUCUGCCGCAUAAACACACCAUUGACUAUCCUGAAUGUGAAGGAAGAGAAAAUGGCGAAACAUGCUCAGUUAAGCCGUGAGAAAAGAGAGUCUAUAAUUAAGCUAAGAAAGGAAGGUCAGUCUUUAAGGAAAAUAGCAAAAACUCUGCAAGUUUCUGUGAAUGCUGUAUCUAAGACCAUCAAACGAGUUGAAGAAACCGGUACUCAUGAGGACCGAGCGAGGUCAGGGAGGCCAAAAGUGACCUCAGAAUCGGAGAACAAGUUUAUUCGAGUCACAUAUGAGCAAAAUGGUGACUUAACUGCCCCUCAAAUACAAGCACAGCUAAACGCGACUAGAAAAACAGAAGUUUCAAUAUCAACAAUCCAAAGAAGAUUGCGUGAAGCUGGCUUAUCUAGAGGGCAGAAGCCGAGAAAGACUUCUUCAGGUCAAAACGGUACAGAAGCUAGAAAGCGCAGGAGUGAAAAUUCCAAGUCUUAGGAAAUAAUUGGGUUUGACAUAUGUAGUACCUGUCAAAUGUUUGGACACACCUGGUGGAUUAUUUUAAAUAAUAUUACAAAAAUAAUAUUACAGACAUUCAAAAAUGUAUGCUUAUAUUCUUGAAAUGUGUCUGUCAAAUAUUAGAGGUGCCAAUAGUGUAAAGGGAUGUUAGAAGAAUCUAGCAUCUUUUUUGGUUACUGCAUAGUUUUGAUGCUUUCUACUAAGAAUACUAGAAAGUAUUUCUAAGAGGAGGUGUGUCCAAACUUUUGACUUCUAUAUACUGUGUUUAGAAGACCUACAGUGGGUGUGGGUGAGCAGGCGUUUUCCAGGUGCAGUUCCCAGGCAGUGCCGUGGUCUACAGUGUGCUGUUUAGAGUUGUUUCUUAGUCUGUGGAGUUUUAGUCUACAGAAGGGUAAUCAUAUACCUCUCAUUUCUGCCAUUUCAUCAGGACUGUGGUUUGCAGAACUGUGGGUAAUCCUUUAUUCUUCAGCAUAAUAACAGCCUGAAACACACCUCAAAACUAAGCAAUAACUAUCCCGCAAAGAAAGAAGGUUAAGAAUAACUCAAAGUAAUGACCCGACCUGCCUGGCCUCGUGAUCUCAAUACCAUAGCACUUGUUAAUCGAGUGCCUCAUGUUUCUGAAACUGUUAAGGCAAAGGAAUCUUCAAUUUAGUGACAGCUUUCAGUGUUUUGAACACUAUUUUUGAUAAUGUGGAUAUUGUAACCUGUCUUCACAUAUUUGUCAAAAAUUACAACAUUUUUGAAAAACCUACCUAGUUUUCAGCAAGUGUACUUUUGACUGGUACUGUAGUUUGAAGCCCUGUGAGUUCAUGCUUUGGCCAGGCUAAUGGAAGCCUUUCUUUGGGGUCUGCUGUCUCAUAGAAACUGCAUUGGUGAUUUCAAAGGCUGCUUUCGGAGGUUUGGACCCAAUGGAAGAAUGAAGUGACCAGAGUGAAUAUAACUGAUUGGCUCCUAUGAUUCUCCUAGUUUUCUUAAGGAACUCAUUGCCUCUCUGGACUCUCAUAUAAAGCCUCAAACCUGGCACCACCUCAAGCUGUGUACAUCUCCAGCCAUUCCAGUUUCCUCCUCUUCCUUGAAGAACAAGCUAAGGAAGAUCAGAAAUCUGCCACACGGUACAGGCAGAAGAAGCAAAGCAUGAGACUCCGUUCUCAGAAUGCACAAAGGUGAAUCCCAGGACUUUGAGGUAUAUGACCCUGACAGCCUUACAGAAUGGACCAGAGAUAUGUUUCAUGGGCUUUGAAUGAUGAGCAUUGUUUGAAGCGUACAUUAUGGAUUGAUUUAUAAUAUCCUGUAUUUUGUCUGUUGGCCUUUAUGAAC